UAACGUUAUUGAUUAAUUCUUCUUAUCUCUUCUUCCAGUUUACGCUUCUUUCCGGAGGAAACAGAUUUUGAACGCCAGGCAAACCCUGAAAUGAAGCUGGACUUGUUGACUGGUCCUUUUACAAUGCCGGCGUUCUGGGCGGGAUCAAUAACAGGCACAGCAAAAAGCUCAAAGUUGCAGCUGGCCAGUUUACAAUUCAAAUCUCCACACCCUCAAUGUAACUUUUUUUGGCUUUUUUCUCCUGUGGACAACUUGCCACUACCUUGCGUUACCAAAAAGAAAAGGCAAUUUCCCGCCGUUGUGCUGACCAAAACCGGACAAUUUUCGGUGCUUCCAAAAAAGCUUGAUACACCACCGGGAUAUUCACAAUAAAAAAAUCGCAACACACAAAUUAAAUUUUUCCACUUCUUCACUGCUCUCUAGCUAAGUUUCACCGCUCACCCCGGAGUAGUAGUAGGUUCCCACCUACUCAGCAAUCAUAGGGCUGCCUAGUCACUUCUUAGCCUGAGUCACCCUGUCAUUCACUACCUUUAUAAUACUCUUUAACUCAACCCUGUUCGAGCCUAAUUUCGUACGUAGCGAACCCUAUCAAACCAUUUCCGGCAUUUUGAUCCCAUCGCCACCCAGACUACACACCCCGCAGAAAUUACAAGCAAAUUGAAAUCUCGAAGCAUCCUCACCAUCCUCACUAAAAACCCAAGAAAACUG